CCUACGGGAGGCAGCAGUGAGGAAUAUUGGUCAAUGGACGAAAGUCUGAACCAGCCAAGUAGCGUGAAGGAUGACGGCCCUAUGGGUUGUAAACUUCUUUUAUAAAGGAAUAAAACGAGGCACGUGUGCCUUGUUGCAUGUACCUUAUGAAUAAGGAUCGGCUAACUCCGUGCCAGCAGUCGCGGUAAUACGGAGGAUCCGAGCGUUAUCCGGAUUUAUUGGGUUUAAAGGGUGCGUAGGUGGGUUGUUAAGUUAGUUGUGAAAGUUUGGGGCUCAACCGUAACAUUGCAUUUGAUACUGGCGGACUUGAGUGUAGUUGAGGUAGGCGGAAUGCGUGGUGUAGCGGUGAAAUGCAUAGAUAUCACGCAGAACCCCGAUUGCGAAGGCAGCUUACUAAACUACGACUGACGUUGAUGCACGAAAGUGUGGGUAUCAAACAGGAUUAGAUACCCGGGUAGUC
rnacentral:rRNA from 1 species